AGGCUUUGAUCCUGGCUCAGAUUGAACGCUAGCGGGAUGCUUUACACAUGCAAGUCGAACGGCAGCGCGGACUUCGGUCUGGCGGCGAGUGGCGAACGGGUGAGUAAUGUAUCGGAACGUGCCCAGUAGCGGGGGAUAACUACUCGAAAGAGUAGCUAAUACCGCAUACGCCCUACGGGGGAAAGGGGGGGAUCUUCGGACCUCUCACUAUUGGAGCGGCCGAUAUCGGAUUAGCUAGUUGGUGGGGUAAAGGCCUACCAAGGCUGCGAUCCGUAGCUGGUUUGAGAGGAUGAUCAGCCACACUGGGACUGAGACACGGCCCAGACUCCUACGGGAGGCAGCAGUGGGGAAUUUUCCGCAAUGGGCGAAAGCCUGACGGAGCAACGCCGCGUGAGGGACGAAGGCCUCUGGGCUGUAAACCUCUUUUCUACAAGGAAGAAGAUCUGACGGUACUUGAGGAAUAAGCCACGGCUAUAUCCG
rnacentral:rRNA from 1 species